rnacentral:tRNA from 3 species
GCGGGUGUAGCUCAGUGGCUAGAGCGUCACGUUGCCAACGUGAAUGUCGUGGGUUCGAAUCCCAUCACCCGCU